AGUGAACGCUGGCGGUAGGCCUAACACAUGCAAGUCGAACGGCAGCACAGUAAGAGCUUGCUCUUACGGGUGGCGAGUGGCGGACGGGUGAGGAAUACAUCGGAAUCUACUUUUUCGUGGGGGAUAACGUAGGGAAACUUACGCUAAUACCGCAUACGACCUACGGGUGAAAGCAGGGGAUCUUCGGACCUUGCGCGAUUGAAUGAGCCGAUGACGGAUUAGCUAGUUGGCGGGGUAAAGGCCCACCAAGGCGACGAUCCGUAGCUGGUCUGAGAGGAUGAUCAGCCACACUGGAACUGAGACACGGUCCAGACGCCUACGGGAGGCAGCAGUGGGGAAUAUUGGACAAUGGGCGCAAGCCUGAUCCAGCCAUACCGCGUGGGUGAAGAAGGCCUUCGGGUUGUAAAGCCCUUUUGUUGGGAAAGAAAAGCAGCAGGUUAAUACCCCGCUGUUCUGACGGUACCCAAAGAAUAAGCACCGGCUAACUUCGUG
rnacentral:rRNA from 1 species